GUGCCAUUCUUAAAUGGAUGGCUUUUAUAUACCCUAAAAAGCUGGAGAAAUAAGGGCUGGGCAAGACCGGUGCCAGCCGCCGCGGUAACACCGGCGGCUCGAGUGGUAACCAUUUUUAUUGGGCCUAAAGGGUCCGUAGCCGGCUUAAUAAGUCUUUGGUGAAAUCCGGUAAUCCCACUGUCAGGCUUUCAGGAGAUACUGUCUGGCUCGAGGCCGGGAGAGGUGAGAGGUACUUCAGGGGUAGGGGUGAAAUCCUGUAAUCCAAGG
rnacentral:rRNA from 1 species